AGAGUAGUGUAGUUCGGGUAUCUAAUAAGGGAAAGCUUUCUAUAUUCCCCAUAUCAUAGAAGUUUUAUGUUCCCCCACUUUUUUAGAUGUUGAUUUCACAGAAGUUCUAUGUUUUCGACCUUUUUAGUUGUUGAUUUAAAAUGGAGAGCUCACAUUCAUUUACUCAAGUUGUCAAAAAAUGGCGGUACGAGGGCAACUGGUAACCCAUUUUGAAAUAAGUCUGUACUAGAGAGAGAGUAACCUAUUUUAAGGAGAGAGAGAGCAAGGGAGAAGAAGAUUUAUUGGAGGAGAGAUAGAGCAUGCAAAUUAGAGGGAGAGAGGGUUUUUUGGAGGAGAGAGAGAGCACGCAGGUCAGAGGGACUAAAACCCACCUCCAAAAAGUUAUCUCCAUUACCCAUACUCCAUUACCACCACCCCAUGACCUCAUCUUCUCUCUCUUGAAGAAAUGCUUGAAAGAACCCUAAACGAAGGGUUUCUUGGAGGAGAGAGAGAGCACAUAGAUUAGAGGGAGAAAGGGUUUCUUGGAGAGCAGAGAGAGCACGCACCAUUAAAAGAGGGAGAGAGGGGUUCUUGGGGAGAAAUUUUUUUUUACAGAGGAUUAGGCAGGAAGAUCCUAAAGAGAGAGAGUCCAAAGGUAGGCAAGAGGCAAUACGGUCAUCCCGAAAACAGGGUUUGCUCUUCGUCGUGCCGAGGCCUCUAGGUCAGCACCCAAGGUUCUCAUCGUCGCCGCUAAUUUGCAGAUCCUAGGUCUGACAUGGAAAUUCCCACAAUGGAGCCUGAAGCUGAGCGAAACAAUAUGUAGACUUCGCUAUGUACACCAUUUGCUUUAUUGAUGUUUGGAUGACAAUGCAAGAAGUCAAAGCAGAGGCCAUAACUUUAAGAACAAGACUGGAGUUUUUUGUAUAAGCCCAAUGCUCAACCCUCAAGCUCAUCAUCUCAGAAAUUUUUUGCAAGCCCAAUAUUCAACAAUCAAGCUCAUCAUCUUAAAAAUGUUUUGCAAGCCUAAUGCUCAACAAUCAAGCUCAUCAUCUUAGAAAUUUUUGCAAGCCCAAUGCUCAACAAUCAAGCUCAUCAUCAGAGAAAUCUUUUGUAACCCCAUUGCUAGUGGAGAAAACUUUAUCUUGGAAUGGAGGUUCGGAAUGGAAUUUUUGUAUAGCUUCCAUAUAUUGCAAAUUCAUGUUGCAAGUAGAAUUUUGUAUAGUUUCAAAGUGCAUGUUGAAUAUCUUCAAAUGGAAUUUUUGUAUAGCUUAAGUUCCUCACACUUCUUAGACCAGAACAUGCUAUCCACUCAUUCAAGAAAUUUAA